GCUGGAACAGCAAUGUCAUAGCAGUACUUUCCUGUCCUUUGAGGCACGUGAAAUUUUGUCCAUCCCGUCAAGUCUCAGAGACCUGCCGUAUGCUCCUUAACUUGGGGGGAACAAGCAAUGGUUACGAAAUAGGUACCACAUGCUACGGCAACGGGAUCAAGCGCCUAUCUCGAUGACUCAUUCCCCUUUUGAUUGUUGGAGAAAUAUAUGUCUCAUUUCUAAGGGCAUGGCUUUUUGGAAUGAAUAUGAGUCUGCUUUAACCCCUCCUGUGCUGUCUGAGCAUUCAACACACCAAGUUCG
rnacentral:misc_RNA from 1 species